rnacentral:rRNA from 1 species
GACGAACCGUCCAAACGUUAUUCGGAAUUACUGGGCUUAAAGGGUGCGUAGGCUGCGCUGUAAGUCAGGUGUGAAAUCCCUCAGCUCAACUGAGGAAUUGCGCUUGAUACUGCAGUGCUCGAGGGAGAUAGGGGUUAACGGAACUGAUGGUGGAGCGGUGAAAUGCGUUGAUAUCAUCAGGAACACCGGUGGCGAAGGCGGCUUUCUGGACAGGUACUGACGCUGAGACGCGAAAGCGUGGGGAGCAAACAGG